rnacentral:rRNA from 2 species
GGGGAAUAUUGGGCAAUGGGGGAAACCCUGACCCAGCGACGUCGCGUGAGGGAAGAAGGUCUUCGGAUUGUAAACCUUUGUCAACAGGGAAGAAGCAAGUGACGGUACCUGAAGAGGAAGCCACGGCUAACUACGUGCCAGCAGCCGCGGUAAUACGUAGGUGGCGAGCGUUAUCCGGAAUUACUGGGUGUAAAGGGUGUGUAGGCGGGGAUGCAAGUCAGAUGUGAAAUCCAUGGGCUCAACCUAUGGUGUGCAUUUGAAACUGAAAGACUUGAGUAUUGGAGAGGCAAGUGGAAUUCCUAGUGUAGCGGUGAAAUGCGUAGAUAUUAGGAGGAACACCGGUGGCGAAGGCGGCUUGCUGGACAAAUACUGACGCUGAGGUGCGAAAGCGUGGGGAGCAAACA